ACUUUCCUCCUUCCUUCGAUUAGCUUAACUUCUCUCCACCGACCGACUGUCCCAAACUCCCACUGCCAUCGCUGCUACUGCUAGCUCCCUCUCCACUUCCUCCCACUUCGGCCACUGCCAUCCUUUUCCUACAUCGAGCCGAGCUCGAGCUCGAGCUCUAUUUUUCGAGCUCGACGAGCUCGAGCUUACAUAUAAACAAGCCCGACUCGACUCGAUAAGUUUAAAACUUGAUUUGACUCGGCUCGUUUGCACUCCUAUGGCAUAUGAACAUGUGGGAGUUGCUUUGGCAAAUUCUGUUAUCAAGACCAACCACAUCUGGAAGGCAGUCAGUGAGCGUCAACACCGCUUCAAUUGAGCACCCACCCUAGCAAGCUUUCAUUGCGAUUUUGCUGCAUGCAUAUCUGAGUUGGAAGCAGGCUUGUCAAAUGCCUUGGUGAUUAUGGUGUUAGUCUCCUAAUGUUGGCGAGUUGUUUAGUUCUAACAUCACCCUGCAUUUUGGUUUUUGCCAAUGUGACAUGUUGCAGGACUAACGAAGUUCAAAAUUGAGCACUUGAGGGGUUUGAAAAGAUAAUGACGACAAGAAACACGAGGGGCUGAGUGCCAACAGGAGAUUACUGAUUUCAGAUUUCUUCUUUUCGCUAGAGAUAAACCAUUCUCAGAGAUUGCAAUGUCUGAAAUAAUGAGAUACGUCUAACAUCCAAUCCAAAGUAGUGCUUUUUUGUAACUUUCCCUUCAAGUUUGGGAUACUUAGUUGAUUUUUAAAUAAAUAUUUUGAUUGCUAAUGAACUGGGCUGUCCUCAGUAAGCCAUAAAAUAUCAAGGUAUGCCUGAGUGAUUACAUCUAAAUAAGUUGGAACUGCUAAAAUCAAGUGAUUACUGAUAUUUAUCAACCAGGGUAUUGAUGAAGAAGCUCCAUGUGAAAAUCCAUAUUGUUCUGUUCAUUUUGGAUAACUAGAGUUACUGACAUGGAAACUAAACGCUUGUCGAUGUUCUAAAGAACAAACAGCUGAUAAAUCUGUUAAGAUUUUGCAGUGGAGCUGUUAGGCAUCAUGGUCGAAUUACACAGAGAAAUGGAUGGGACCUGAAUCAUCCUUAGCAGCUCCAUGGCAGACAGCUGACCAUAUGCAUCAAUUACUCGCACAGCCAACAUGGUUCCUUCAAGUAGCAGGUUCAAUUCAAGAAUGAGUAAGGAAAAGGAGAGCAAGCCGUAUGGAAUUAAAACCACGGUGGGUGGCCAAAAAGGCACAGGACUUUAUCGCGUCACAUGGUCCUGGAUAAGGUUUUAAACAAGUCAUUGCUUUAAUGAUUUCCGACAUGAGCUUAUUCCCAGAUCUUAAAGCUGUGGCAUUACAUGAUGAAAGUCCCAUGUCUGGAAUAAUAAGUGGGAUAGCACGUGAAGAAAAGUUUGUCAAACUCAAUAGCGACCACACCAAAGUAGAGCACUUGCUGCAUUAGCAAGAAAGGAUCAAAGUAACGUUCGAUUCUCAUUCCGCAGAAAGAAGCUUUUUUUUAAUCAAAAUCAUAACGUCUUUCAGCAUGCUGCCUGCCCAUCCAAAAUGAUGUCCGGGAAGCCCCCUGGAAAAGCUACCUGCUAGCGGUUCCAUGAUGAAAAGGUCGCCGGGAAAUUAAUAUUAUCCGCAUUCUUAAUAAUCAGAAGAAAGAUGGGAGCUGAUAAAGAUUCUGUUUAACGAUUGUGGAACGGAUUCUGGGAGUUAAUUUUGGUGUAAAAGCUUAACAAAAGCAGAGUCGAGGACCAAGGAAAUCUUAGCGUGCUUUAAUAUUUGCUGCUUUCCAAGGCAGUGACAUUGCAAGACUUGUAAGUAAGGCCGCAGCCCACAGGAAAUGAUUUUCUGGAAAGCAAAGAUGGGGACAGAGAAAGAAAGAACAACUAUCCAAUGCUUAUGAAACAUCAAGGCGAAGAUUUUACACAGUUUUUCCAGUGGUGUCAGUGCUUUUAAAAUUCUGUCGUGCAUUUCAGAGCUAAUAAUUGGGACCUAAAUUUGAAUGGAAAAAGAU